rnacentral:lncRNA from 1 species
ACAGCUACGGAUAUUUCAAUUUCUGGAGGCGGAAUCCUCAUGGGAGUCGAAUAGGGUUUCAAUUCGAGGUUGGUUGGGGUUUAAAUAGAAGGGAGUAUUGAUCUUGAGCUCUAUCGGACGACGGAAAUCGUCGCCGGAAAACUCGGAGUCCAUCGAGCUGGAUGCGGCGGAGUAAUGAUGAUGCCACCACCACGCCAGCGCCCUGUUACCAUUUAUGGUAAUGUGUCGUCUACUGAUUGGGUGCUUGUUGAGUCAGCGCCUCCACACCAAAGCUACGCCAUUUUGACUGAAUUGCAAGCUGGAGAAAUAAAAUGUAUACUGUGCUUAGUGGUAGGGAUCGAACUAGGGACCUUGAUUC